UACGAAGGGUCCAAGCGUUAUCCGGAUUCAUUGGGCUUAAAGGGUGCGCAGGCGGGGCCUUAAGUCAGUGGUGAAAUCCCGUAGCUCAACUACGGAACUGCCAUUGAUACUGAGGUUCUUGAAUGUAGUUGACGUUAGUGGAAUUUUUCAUGUAGCGGUGAAAUGCUUAGAUAUGACACAGAACACCGAUCGCGAAGGCAGCUAACGAAGCUAUUAUUGACGCUCAGGCACGACAGCAUGGGGAGCAAACAGG
rnacentral:rRNA from 1 species